rnacentral:rRNA from 1 species
UACGUAGGGUGCAGGCGUUAAUCGGAAUUACUGGGCGUAAAGCGUGCGCAGGCGGUUUCUUAAGUCAGAUGUGAAAGCCCCGGGCUUAACCUGGGAACUGCGUUUGAAACUGGGAGACUUGAGUGUGGCAGAGGUGAGUGGAAUUCCGAGUGUAGAGGUGAAAUUCGUAGAUAUUCGGAGGAACACCAGUGGCGAAGGCGGCUCACUGGUCCAUUACUGACGCUGAGGUGCGAAAGCGUGGGGAGCAAACAGG